GCUUCCUUGGUGUAGUCGGUUAUCACGUCGGUCUCAUACAAUUUCUGUAUGAUCUAGCAUAGCGUAGAGGCAUCCGAAGGUCGCCAGUUCGAAUCUGGCAGGGAGCA